AGAGUUUGAUCCUGGCUCAGAACGUACGCUGGCGGCACGCCUAACACAUGCAAGUCGAACGAAGUAGCAAUACUUAGUGGCAGACGGGUGAGUAACAUGUAGGUAUCUGCCCUUUGGCCUGGAAUAACACGAGGAAACUUGUGCUAAUACCGGAUAAGUCUUUACGGAGAAAGCUUUAUGCACCAUUGGAUGAGCCUGCACUUGAUUAGUUUGUUGGUGGGGUAAUGGCCUACCAAGACUUUGAUCAAUAGCUGAUUUGAGAGGAUGAUCAGCCACAUUGGGACUGAGACACGGCCCAAACUCCUACGGGAGGCAGCAGUGGGGAAUCUUGCACAAUGGAGGAAACUCUGAUGCAGCGAUGCCGCGUGAGUGAAGAAGGCCUUUGGGUUGUAAAGCUCUUUCGUCGGGGAAGAAAAUGACUGUACCCGAAUAAGAAGGUCCGGCUAACUUCGUGCCAGCAGCCGCGGUAAUACGAAGGGACCUAGCGUAGUUCGGAAUUACUGGGCUUAAAGAGUUCGUAGGUGGUUGAAAAAGUUGGUGGUGAAAUCCCAGAGCUUAACUCUGGAACUGCCAUCAAAACUUUUCAGCUAGAGUAUGAUAGAGGAAAGCAGAAUUUCUAGUGUAGAGGUGAAAUUCGUAGAUAUUAGAAAGAAUACCAAUUGCGAAGGCAGCUUUCUGGAUCAUUACUGACACUGAGGAACGAAAGCAUGGGUAGCGAAGAGGAUUAGAUACCCUCGUAGUCCAUGCCGUAAACGAUGUGUGUUAGACGUUGGAAAUUUAUUUUCAGUGUCGCAGGGAAACCGAUAAACACACCGCCUGGGGAGUACGACCGCAAGGUUAAAACUCAAAUGAAUUGACGGGGACCCGCACAAGUAGUGGAGCAUGUGGUUUAAUUCGAAGAUACGCGCAGAACCUUACCAACACUUGACAUGUUCGUCGCGACUCUAAGAGAUUAGAGUUUUCGGUUUGGCCGGACGAAACACAGGUGCUGCAUGGCUGUCGUCAGCUCGUGUCGUGAGAUGUUGGGUUAAGUCCCGCAACGAGCGCAACCCUCACUUUUAGUUGCCAUCAUUAAGUUGGGCACUCUGAAAGAACUGCCAGUGAUAAGCUGGAGGAAGGUGGGGAUGACGUCAAGUCCUCAUGGCCCUUACGUGUUGGGCUACACACGUGCUACAAUGGUAUCUACAACAGGAAGCAAGACUGCGAAGUUAAGCAAAUCCCUAAAAGAUACCUCAGUUCGGAUUGCACUCUGCAACUCGAGUGCAUGAAGCUGGAAUUACUAGUAAUCGUGGAUCAGCGUGCCACGGUGAAUGCGUUCCCGGGUCUUGUACACACCGCCCGUCACACCAUGGGAGUUGGUUCUACCUUAAGGCAAGGUUUUAAACCCUUGACCACGGUAUAGUCAGCGACUGGGGUGAAGUCGUAACAAGGUAACC
rnacentral:rRNA from 1 species